CACCGAUGAGGAAGACAUCCCAAGAAUAGGAAGUGCCGUAUGACACUUUAAACAGCAGCUGCAGC
ncrna:Nicotiana tabacum cultivar TN90 Ntab-TN90_scaffold1609, whole genome shotgun sequence